GCCGCUGACGUGGCAGACGAGCGUGUUUUUCUCUCCCGCCAGCUCUUCGUCUCUCGGGUAGACCACGGGAUGAGCGGGACGAUCUGAAAAGACCAACGGAGGGCGGUCAAGCCGCUUAUCCUCACAAGGGUCGCGAGGAGCGCCGGCGCAAAUCCCAACCGUCGUCGGGCGUAACGCCCCGAACCGGUUGCCAGCCAAUCGCAGUGGCGAAAGGAGACGAAGCUGGGAUUUGAACCCCGGUCCUCAGAACUGUGAGGCAGACGCUUUACAAGCUGCGCCACUGGGCCGACAAGAAAAAAAAACCUGGCAGAAAAUUUACGAGCGUUGUAAAAAGACCACAAAAAGGAAGGAGAGUCCUGCCUGCCUGCCUGCCUGUACUCCCCGAGUUUUGCCGCUAGGGGGACUUCGUGCGAAUGACGCGCAGGUCAUCCGGCAAUUUUGAGGCACGUACCUUGACAAUAAAUUUCAGCGGCGCUGCUGCCGAGGAAGAGGACGAGGAAGUAGAGCGCCUUCAUCUCGUCGGACUGGAGGUUUCCGCUCCUCCUGUCACCGAAAGGCAGCCGCUCAAUGGCACCAGCUGA